AACGAACGCUGGCGGCGUGCUUAACACAUGCAAGUCGAACGCACCGCAAGGUGAGUGGCGCACGGGUGAGUAACGCGUGGGAAUCUACCUUUUGGUUCGGAAUAACGCAGGGAAACUGGUGCUAAAACCGGAUACGCCCUUCGGGGGAAAAAUUUAUUGUCAAAAGAUGAGCCCGCGUUGGAUUAGCUAGUUGGUGAGGUAAUGGCUCACCAAGGCGACGAUCCAUAGCUGGUCUGAGAGGAUGAUCAGCCACACUGGGACUGAGACACGGCCCAGACUCCUACGGGAGGCAGCAGUGGGGAAUAUUGGACAAUGGGGGAAACCCUGAUCCAGCAACGCCGCGUGAGUGAUGAAGGUCUUCGGAUUGUAAAGCUCUUUUGGCAGGGACGAUGAUGACGGUACCUGCAGAAUAAGCUCCGGCUAACUUCGUGCCAGCAGCCGCAGUAAUAC
rnacentral:rRNA from 1 species